AUGAAAGUUGCCCAGCAAGUUUUAAAACAAUUUAAAGAUAUAUCAUGAUUGAAAGAGUCUGAAUAAUAAGCUGGCUAUCCUUCACAAUGUAUUUGUGAAUUAGCAUGAACAAAAUUUUGACUGAACAAGUAUUGAACAGGAACAAUAAUAUAUCUGGACCAACUGGUAAUGAAGGUGAUCAGCCUUUCAUACCUGACUUAUACAUGCAAGAUGUA
rnacentral:lncRNA from 1 species